GAUGAACGCUGGCGGCGUGCCUAAUACAUGCAAGUCGAGCGAACAGAUGAGGAGCUUGCUCCUCUGACGUUAGCGGCGGACGGGUGAGUAACACGUGGAUAACCUACCUAUAAGACUGGGAUAACUUCGGGAAACCGGAGCUAAUACCGGAUAAUAUAUUGAACCGCAUGGUUCAAUAGUGAAAGACGGUUUUGCUGUCACUUAUAGAUGGAUCCGCGCCGCAUUAGCUAGUUGAUAAGGUAACGGCUUACCAAGGCAACGAUGCGUAGCCGACCUGAGAGGGGGAUCGGCCACACUGGAACUGAGACACGGUCCAGACUCCUACGGGAGGCAGCAGUAGGGAAUCUUCCGCAAUGGGCGAAAGCCUGACGGAGCAACGCCGCGUGAGUGAUGAAGGUCUUCGGAUCGUAAAACUCUGUUAUUAGGGAAGAACAAAUGUGUAAGUAACUAUGCACGUCUUGACGGUACCUAAUCAGAAAGCCACGGCUAACUACGUG
rnacentral:rRNA from 1 species